rnacentral:pre_miRNA from 1 species
AUGAAGUGUGACAUGCCCGUUUGGGAUUAUUACUCUGAUGCGUGUUUAUUUUAUUAAAUAAUUGAUAUUUGGGAACGGGGUGUUACAAUUAA